GCACGGUGAGCUCAGUUGGUAGAGCGCCAGACUCUUGAUCUGGCUGUCACAGGUUCGAGCCCCGAAUUAUGCU
rfam:Angiostrongylus cantonensis strain Taiwan genome assembly, scaffold: ACAC_contig0000319